GAGGUAUUUGAAUGAGCUGUACAGCUCAAAGUCAUCCGGCGUGCAAAUCGAGGUGUCUCCACGUCGUCCACCUGCUCCAAAAAGAGAUUAAAUCCAUGGGAAAGGCGCUUCAAAGUCGUCAACAGGAGGUCCGGGCACAAAAAUCGGCUUCCAUCCCCACUGCCCAGGACGGUGCCCAUUGACCCUUCAGCCCCCAGAAGGAAGAUCAACCAGGUCCUGACCAUCUACAAUCUGUCAUCUCUACUCAAGUCUCUGCAAAAGAGUGCUGUAAAAGUAAUGUCUUGAAUUAUUUAAAUUGUUAUUCUUGUGUUUAAAAAAACUUCCCUGU